rnacentral:rRNA from 1 species
AUUGAACGCUGGCGGCAGGCCUCACACAUGCAAGUCGAACGAGCGGCGGACGGGUGAGUAAUGUAUGGGGAACUGCCCGAUUGAGGGGUAUCACUACUGGAAACGGUUGCUAAUACCGCCUACUCUCGGAUGUACCCAUAUGGGAUUAGCUAGUAGGUGGGGUAAAGGCUCACCUAGGCGACGAUCCCUAGCUGGUCUGCGAGGAUGAUCAGCCACACGGGGACUGAGACACGGCCCAGACUCCUACGGGAGGCAGCAGUGGGGAAUAUUGCACAAUGGGCGCAAGCCUGAUGCAGCCAUGCCGCGUGUAUGAAGAAGGCCUUAGGGUUGUAAAGUACUUUCAGCGGGGAGGCGUUACCCGCAGAAGAAGCACCGGCUAACUCCGUGCCAGCAGCCGCGGGAAUUC